rnacentral:rRNA from 1 species
UAGGGAUCUGUUGCUAGGUGUCUCUGGCGACGGGUGAGUACACGUGCGUACCUGCCCCUGACUCUGGGAUAAGCCUUGGAAACGAGGUCUAAUACCGGAUAUGUGACGUUCAGGCAUCUGAUGCGUCUGGAAAGAUUUAUCGGUCAGGGAUGGACUCGCGGCCUAUCAGCUUGUUGGUGGGGUAACGGCCUACCAAGGCGACGACGGGUAGCCGGCCUGAGAGGGCGACCGGCCACACUGGGACUGAGACACGGCCCAGACUCCUACGGGAGGCAGCAGUGGGGAAUAUUGCACAAUGGGCGCAAGCCUGAUGCAGCGACGCCGCGUGAGGGAUGAAGGCCUUCGGGUUGUAAACCUCUUUCAGCAGGGAAGAAGCGCAAGUGACGGUACCUGCAGAAGAAGCGCCGGCUAACUACGUGCCAGCAGCCGCGGUAAUACGUAGGGCGCAAGCGU